AGAGUUUGAUCCUGGCUCAGGAUGAACGCUAGCUACAGGCUUAACACAUGCAAGUCGAGGGGUCUGCUUCGGCAGACGACCGGCGCACGGGUGAGUAACGCGUAUCCAACCUGCCCUUCAUAUUGGGAUAGCCUCUCGAAAGGGAGAUUAAUACCGAAUAACAUGAAAGAGUUGCCUGAUUUUUUCAUGAAAGCUCCGGCGAUGAAGGAUGGGGAUGCGUUCCAUUAGGUAGUAGGCGGGGUAACGGCCCACCUAGCCGACGAUGGAUAGGGGUUCUGAGAGGAAGGUCCCCCACACUGGAACUGAGACACGGUCCAGACUCCUACGGGAGGCAGCAGUGAGGAAUAUUGGUCAAUGGGCGCAAGCCUGAACCAGCCAAGUAGCGUGAAGGAUGACUGCCCUAUGGGUUGUAAACUUCUUUUAUACGGGAACAAACGAAGGUACGUGUACCUUUUUGCGUGUACCGUAUGAAUAAGCAUCGGCUAACUCCGUGCCAGCAGCCGCGGU
rnacentral:rRNA from 1 species